GACCGACAAGGCAAGGGAACACAAAGGGAGGCCGGGCUGCGAUGACCACAGGACCGCACCCUUGGGUGCUGGAAGUGAGGAGCCGGUCUCGCGGCGUGCUGUGGCUUGUCUCCGACGUCUGAAGCAACUGGCCCUAGAGGGGAAGAGACUUGGCCCUCGAGUGGAGACCCAGCCCAGUGCAGAUGUCCUGGCUCACCCACCCGGACGCUGGCAGCCCUGGGCUCCCUUCCUUGCGCAGGCUGCACGCAGGGGGAGCUCCACCCAGCCGGAGGCAAGCCAAGCAAGGCCCGGAGAAAGCGGUUACCAGGGGAAUGCUUUAGCAAUCCUUCAGGUCUUGUCUCUGCAGAGAGGAGAUGAGUAAUGGACAAAGGGCCUUAAUCCUCCCUCAAUCCGGCAGUGCCAAAGGAACCACCAGCCUGCUUAGCGAGGUUCUUAGGAAGAGGCUUAGGGUAUUUAAAGGAAAAGAAAGGGAAGGCAGAAGGGAGGUAGGCAGGAAGACAGAGGAGCAGAAGAGGAAGAUUCCUGAAUGUCAGGGAGCUUGAAGGGGAGAAGCUUGCAGGCAGGGGAAUGUUGGCACAAGGCCGUCAGUCGGUCACAGCUGUCACAAUUGCCCUCCGCAGAGCGCCAAAGUCAGGGGCUCUGUGGGGAUCCCCACAGCUCUGGAAGGACCCUUGUUCUGCAGAUGGGGAACCCAGGCUCAAAGAAGGUGAUCUUUACACGCAACAUGGGGCUUGAACUCACGACCCUCAGGUCAAGAGUGGUCUGCUUUACCCACGGAGCCAGCCAGGUGACCCCUGUUAUGAUUAUUUUAAUUAAAAUCGUUUGGGAUCAAAGCGAGAGCUAUCUGUGGAUACUCUGUGAACAAUACUUAACUUCCCCUAAAGAAAAAAAGAAACCCAAAAGAGGUCUUAGCCACAUUUCUAGGUCAUCACUCUGGCAAUUUCACCAGACAACCAAAUCUGUCUUUUUAGCCACAUGUGAAUAAAAUGAGAACCAGAGAUGAUUGAAGUUUGCCUCAAUCAGUAGAAUUUCAUUCUUUGCUCUCUGGGUUUCCACCCCUACUUCCGGUCCUUACUGAAAGGCUCUUGGAAAGAUUUUUUUCUUAUAUUAAAAUAAAGGCUUUAGGGGUGCCUGGGUGGCUCAGUGGGUUAAGCCUCUGCCUUUGGCUCGGGUCAUGAUCUCGGGGUUCUGGGAUCAAGCCCAGCUUCCGCUCUCCGCUCAGCGGGGAGCCUGCUUCCACCUCUCUCUCCGCCUGCCUCUCUGC
rnacentral:lncRNA from 1 species